rnacentral:rRNA from 1 species
AUUGAACGCUGGCGGCAGGCCUAACACAUGCAAGUCGAGCGGCAGCGGAAAGUAGCUUGCUACUUUGCCGGCGAGCGGCGGACGGGUGAGUAAUGUCUGGGAAACUGCCUGAUGGAGGGGGAUAACUACUGGAAACGGUAGCUAAUACCGCAUAACGUCGCAAGACCAAAGAGGGGGACCUUCGGGCCUCUUGCCAUCAGAUGUGCCCAGAUGGGAUUAGCUAGUAGGUGGGGUAACGGCUCACCUAGGCGACGAUCCCUAGCCGGUCUGAGAGGAUGACCAGCCACACUGGAACUGAGACACGGUCCAGACUCCUACGGGAGGCAGCAGUGGGGAAUAUUGCACAAUGGGCGCAAGCCUGAUGCAGCCAUGCCGCGUGUAUGAAGAGGGCCUUCGGGUUGUAAAGUACUUUCAGCGGGGAGGAAGGCGUUGAGGUUAAUAACCUCAGCGAUUGACGUUACCCGCAGAAGAAGCACCGGCUAACUCCGUGCCAGCCGCCGCCGUAA